rnacentral:rRNA from 1 species
UACGUAGGGGGCAAGCGUUGUCCGGAAUCAUUGGGCGUAAAGAGCGUGUAGGCGGCCCGGUAAGUCCGUUGUGAAAGUCCAGGGCUCAACCCUGGAAAGCCGAUGGAUACUGCCGGGCUAGAGUUCGGAAGAGGCGAGUGGAAUUCCUGGUGUAGCGGUGGAAUGCGCAGAUAUCAGGAAGAACACCCGUGGCGAAGGCGGCUCUCUGGAACGCAACUGACGCUGAGACGCGAAAGCGUGGGGAGCAAACAGG